UUUUAAAGAUGGGCACGACAUUAGUUUUUUUCCAGUCAUCCGGGACCUCCCCCAAUCGACAUGAGUUUUCAAAGAUAACGGCCAAUGGCUCUGCAAUCACAUCUGCCAGGAGGUUGACGACAACCAGGAUUACUGAAAGUCCCUAGGAGCAUGGCAGUUCUACAAUGAAGUCCAUUGAUAUAUAGUAGACCAUGGCUGUAGCGGUAAGGAAAGAGGCUGGAGGAGACCUAGGCGUGUUGAUUGUGGGUUUUUGGUAUGGGCACAGAGAUCGCAGAUAAUCCUUGAUGUAAUCUUGUAGGCUUGGCCACCAGAAGCUCUUCAAGACCACAUUCCAGGUCUUGAACUGGCCAAAAUUCACCCUCCCGCAGGGAAUCAUGGCAUAGUGUCAAUAGUUGAUGCCUAGGUUGUUCCUCCAGAACACAGAUACAACCCUUGCAACAAAGGAGGCUAUUCUGUAGUCUGAUCCCUGAGUUGCGUCAGGUAUCCAUGUUGUUCAGAGCCUAGCAGAGCUGGAUUACAAACAGGUCAUCAGGGAGAAGGAAGCGUAUGGAGAACGUUGGACUGUUGUCGAUUGUCCUAUUAACAAAGUUGGACACCUUGAGCAUGGUGGCAGAGGGUUCUUCACCAGGUUUGAGAUAUUCAUCUUUAUGAGAUAGGGCAACAGCCUUCCCUUUUCUCUUCCACGGGCGAUAGGUCACAGCAAAGUGAAAAAGAGGGACCAGUGGAUUGGUGUUGGUUAAGGUGUCUAGCAAUCCAUAGAUACUCUAGGUUUUUAUGGUCCAUGGGAAUCCAGCUUCUUCUAGGAAGUGGUGCCACUCCUUGAAAGCUGCCUUAAUAGCUAGUAGCUCCAUGUCCCAAAGAUGUUUUUUUACACCAGCAUUAGUUUGAGAGUAAAAGGCACAGGGAUAAAAUAGAUUGCGGGGGCCUUCAUGUUGAGAUAAUACUGUACCUAUGGUGUCGGCCUCAAUGCUAAAUGGUUUAGUGAGAUCUGGGUGAAUCAUGAUUGGUAUUGAGGUGAAUGCUGCCUUCUGUCGAUCAAAGGCCUACUGAGCCUCCAUGGACCAGGUAAACCAGGCUGCUACUUGUAGGCACACUCUUAAAAGUGCAGCCAGGCUAGAGAAUCCUUCAAUAAAUGGCCUGUUGAAAUUGGCGAACCCCAGGAAUCACUGGAUCCUGCAUAUAUCCUUGGGCACAGCCCAGUCAGAUAUUGCUGUCCCAUAUGUGGGUCUGUGGGUCCAUGGCGAGUCCCUUGGGUGAGAUGAUAUAUCCCAAGAAUUCCACUGUAUCCUUAUCAAACUCACAUUUCUCGAGCUUUGUAUAGAGGUGGUUUUGGCAGAAUCUCUCUAAGACAGUGUGUGCGUGAUCAUUGUGGAGGUCCUGACUUUCAGAGAAAAUGAGGAUGUCUUUCAAGUAAUUGACAAUAAAUUGGUCCAGCGGUCCAUAAAGAUGUCAUUUAUGAAACGGUGGAAGGUCACAGGGGCAUUGCACUACCCAAAUGGUAUGACCAAAUAUUCGAAGUAGCCAUCCCUGGUACAGAAGGCGCUCUUCCAUUUGUCUCCUUGCAGGAUCCUCACCAAGCUCUAAGUUCCACAGAGGUCCAACUUUGUGAAGACCCCUUGGUAAAGCAGAGUCUUUUGAGCUGCUCAUUAAUAAGUGAUAAAGGGAUACUGGUUUUAGACUGUAAUCUUGUGUGCACUGCUGAGCUCUGAACAAGGCUGGAGGGAGCCGUCUUUCUUUGCCACAGAGAAGCUGUGGGGAUGUGGAGAUAUAAAUGAACCUCUUCUGCAGGUUUUCCUCAAGAUAGGCCCAGAGUGCUGGUAGUUUGGGUUUGGAGUGCAUGUAAAUGCACCUGAAGGGAUCCUCCGCUCCCAGCUGGAAUUGAAUGGGGCAGUUGUGGCUCCAAGGGAGAGGUAGGAUGUCAGAGAUCUUUUUGUCUGACGUGUUGGCAGAAUGCGGAUAUUUAACAUGAAUCUGUGGAGUUGUUUGGGGGGGGUGUUUGCUGGCGUAGCUUUUGAAUCCUUCCUUUGCAUCUCUGAAUUCCUUGGAGGACCAAGUGUGCCACAAAGGGUUACUGGUCCCAGAGCAUCUCUCAUGAAAUAAGUUUGUCGGCAACAUGAAAAAUCAAAGCAUACUGUGCUUUGCUGCCAGUGGACGCGAGGGUCGUGGGUGAUGAGAAAGGGGACGUCAAGGACAACUGAUGAAUGUGGUACACAAAUCUGUCCAAACAUGAGAAUUUCUUGGUGACCUCAAAGGGUAGUUACCUCUAAGGGAGCUGUCUGAUAGGUGAUUGAUUUGGAUGAAAGAGGUGACCCAUCUGUGAACUCCACUAACUCAAAUCUUUGUGCUGUGUGAGGAUACUGUGUGGUCGGGUGAACUCCAGGUCUGUGAAAUUGCCUGAGGCACCCAAGUCCACCAGUGCUUCUUGGUUGAUACCAGGCAUCUCAGGGUGCUGGUGCUGGAGCUGGAGAGGGAGUUGGAUUGGCCAUCACCAGUGGAUGAGAGUUGGAUGGUGUAUGCUGCUGGGAGAGGGGAAGGGCAUCUAUCCAGUCUGGAGCUUCCUGUCAAGGCUGGGGUUUGGUGUUUCUCAACCAAGGUGUAGAUUGGACCUUGGCAGGACAGCUUGGUGCAAAGUUUGUAGAAUAGGCUUGAGGCCUGGCAUCAAUUCUGUGGCCGAGCCUGAUUGACUUGCAUGGGUUAGGGCAGUGGAGAGAGGACUAAUGAUGCGGGGGAUGGGGCAGAGCUGGUGAGAGCCAGGAGGACCACCUUUUUUUCUUGGUGCUGUUCUGUCAGGCAGUUGUUGAUCUUGAUGCAUAGGUUGACUAAGGCAUCCAGGCCAGAAGGGGAGUUUACAUAUGCCAGUUCAUCCUUUAGGCCAAGCCAGAAAUGAUAACACUACAUUAAUAUCCUCAUUUAGGCACAGAGGUAAUAGCACUGGGUGGCCUUCUUCCACUUGAGAUAUACUAUUUAGUGCUAGAACUCUGCUGUGUAUCUAUAGCAACUGGCCAGCACCCCUGUUAGAGCACUUAAAGCACGGUUUCGGCCAUAUGCUUGGAAUUUGCGUCAGCAAAGAUCACUGCCAUAGCUUGAAUGAAGUCCUUAAAUUGUCCCAGAAGCAGGCUUGAUUUUUUUUUUUUUCCAGCAGCAGAGAUGCCCAAGGCAGGGCCCCCCAGUUAGCAGGCAAACAAUCAGACCCACUGAGGUUUGGUCAGUGAGGUACAAUUGUGAAUGUAGAAGAAGUAGGAGCUUGGGUUUGCGGGGGGGGGGGGGAGGAAGCUGACGGUGGUACAGCUUGGGCUUGCAGGACUGCAUUCUGCACCUGCAGGGUGACUGCCAGGGCUUGCAAGGUCUGUAGGGCUCCAGCUGUGUGUUGGAGAGAGAUUGGCCUUUGUAGAAUCCAUGCUCACCAUAUCAGCUCUAGUUCCCUUAGCAUUUAUGCUGGGCUGCUGAAACUGUCAAUGGCUGGGACGUGGGUGGUCAUGUCUAGUGUGACAGGAGUUAGAGCAGGAGUUGGUGGUUGGGAACUUGAGCCCAGGGUCAGAGCUGGAGACAGAAACCCAAGGAUCAGAGGUCAGGAAUCAGAGCUGAGGGUCAGGAUCUGGUUAUCUGAAGUGAGGCAAGGCUGGGUCCAAGGCACGAUUAGGGCUAGGAACAAGUAGGCACAGGAACUAUCACAGCACUAGGCAAAUGCUUUUAGCAGCUGCCAAACUGCUGCUUAAGAGCCAGUCUGCUGACUCUUCCAACCAAUCAGGCCAUGUAGCCAAUCAGGCAGCCUAACUACAGGCCAGCUGUGUUCAUUAGCUUGCCUGGAGACUGGCUCUGCUGCAGGCCCUGGUUCCUGACAGACACAGGACAGGAUUAUCUGGGGAGGCUGAGGCAGGUGGGGGAUGUUUUUGCUUUGCCUUUCUGCACAGAAACCCUGUACGAUAGAUAGCUGAGAAUAGCAUUAGUUCCCAGAUGAAUUGCUUCCCAGUCCUGACCUUUGGCUCCCAAGAGGUAAGCCAUUCCACUGGGAGUGUAGGAGCAACAACCCAGAGAUGGUAGAGGCAGACAGAGAAGGAUCAGGGAAGAGUUGCUCAUAGAGAUGGACAGGAGGAACCAGGAGCAGUUUGAAUUCCUCGGAGCACAGGAGGAUUGGGCUGUUCAUCAGGAAGAAACAUUGAUGAGCCAGUUCCUGCAACUGGAGGAACUUCAUAGGGAAUGGGAGCAUUCCCUAAUGGAGAGGCUCUUUGAACUGGUAGCCAAAUGAGUUCAGGGUCUGCCUGCUGCUGGAGCCACUGAAUCUGUCUGUGACCCUCCAGAUAUCACCCCCCCACCACCACCUCUUCCUCUGGCUGCAGCUGGAGGAUUCUUUUUUAUGGACCCCCCUGAGUGAUUGGGUAGAGAGCCUGCAGGACUCCUGGAACCUCACCCUCACUCAAAAUCCCUUUUAGGGGGAACCUCUUAUUCUCCUGGACUGUGAGCCUAUGGGAGUCCUGGAGCCCCACCCAGUGCCCACCCCAAAGCCUGUGCAGGAGACCUUCCCUGUUUUCCCCAA